GGCUCAGACAGCCAGGAUGUUGGCUUAGAAGCAGCCAUCAUUUAAAGAAAGCGUAAUAGCUCACUGGUCGAGUCGGCCUGCGCGGAAGAUGUAACGGGGCUAAGUAGUAAACCGAAGCUGCGGCAAUGUGCUUUUGCACAUUGGGUAGGGGAGCGUUCUGUAAGCGGUUGAAGGUGUGUGGUAACGCAUGCUGGACGUAUCAGAAGUGCGAAUGCUGACAUGAGUAACGAUAAAGGGGGUGAAAAACCUCCUCGCCGGAAGACCAAGGGUUCCUGUCCAACGUUAAUCGGGGCAGGGUAAGUCGACCCCUAAGGCGAGGCCGAAAGGCGUAGUCGAUGGGAAACGGGUUAAUAUUCCCGUACUUCUUACAAUUGCGAUGGGGGGACGGAGAAGGCUAGGUGGGCCUGGCGACGGUUGUCCAGGUUCAAGUGCGUAGGCUUAAGAGUUAGGUAAAUCCGGCUCUUUUUAAGGCUGAGACACGACGUCGAGCACCUACGGGUGUGAAGCCAUUGAUGCCAUGCUUCCAGGAAAAGCCUCUAAGCUUCAGAUUGUAAGGAAUCGUACCCCAAACCGACACAGGUGGUCGGGUAGAGAAUACCAAGGCGCUUGAGAGAACUCGGGUGAAGGAACUAGG
rnacentral:rRNA from 1 species